rnacentral:rRNA from 1 species
UGCAGUCGAACGGAAAGGCCCUUCGGGGUACUCGAGUGGCGAACGGGUGAGUAACACGUGGGUGAUCUGCCCUGCACUUUGGGAUAAGCCUGGGAAACUGGGUCUAAUACCGAAUAUGAUCAUGGCCUUCAUGGGUUGUGGUGGAAAGCUUUUGCGGUGUGGGAUGGGCCCGCGGCCUAUCAGCUUGUUGGUGGGGUAAUGGCCUACCAAGGCGACGACGGGUAGCCGGCCUGAGAGGGUGUCCGGCCACACUGGGACUGAGAUACGGCCCAGACUCCUACGGGAGGCAGCAGUGGGGAAUAUUGCACAAUGGGCGCAAGCCUGAUGCAGCGACGCCGCGUGAGGGAUGACGGCCUUCGGGUUGUAAACCUCUUUCAGCAGGGACGAAGCGCAAGUGACGGUACCUGUAGAAGAAGGACCGGCCAACUACGUGCCAGCAGCCGCGGUAAUACGUAGGGUCCGAGCGUUGUCCGGAAUUACUGGGCGUAAAGAGCUCGUAGGUGGUUUGUCGCGUUGUUCGUGAAAACUCACAGCUUAACUGUGGGCGUGCGGGCGAUACGGGCAGACUUGAGUACUGCAGGGGAGACUGGAAUUCCUGGUGUAGCGGUGGAAUGCGCAGAUAUCAGGAGGAACACCGGUGGCGAAGGCGGGUCUCUGGGCAGUAACUGACGCUGAGGAGCGAAAGCGUGGGGAGCGAACAGGAUUAGAUACCCUGGUAGUCCACGCCGUAAACGGUGGGUACUAGGUGUGGGUUUCCUUCCUUGGGAUCCGUGCCGUAGCUAACGCAUUAAGUACCCCGCCUGGGGAGUACGGCCGCAAGGCUAAAACUCAAAGAAAUUGACGGGGGCCCGCACAAGCGGCGGAGCAUGUGGAUUAAUUCGAUGCAACGCGAAGAACCUUACCUGGGUUUGACAUGCACAGGACGUGCCUAGAGAUAGGUAUUCCCUUGUGGCCUGUGUGCAGGUGGUGCAUGGCUGUCGUCAGCUCGUGUCGUGAGAUGUUGGGUUAAGUCCCGCAACGAGCGCAACCCUUAUCUUAUGUUGCCAGCGCGUAAUGGCGGGGACUCGUGAGAGACUGCCGGGGUCAACUCGGAGGAAGGUGGGGAUGACGUCANGUCAUCAUGCCCCUUAUGUCCAGGGCUUCACACAUGCUACAAUGGCCGGUACAAAGGGCUGCGAUGCCGUGAGGUGGAGCGAAUCCUUUCAAAGCCGGUCUCAGUUCGGAUCGGGGUCUGCAACUCGACCCCGUGAAGUCGGAGUCGCUA